UAACUCUGGUUUUCCUUCAAUACGCCAAAAUCUUUCGCCUUUUACUAAAGAUUUCCGUGGAGGAGAACACUCGAAUGAGUCUCUAAUUCAAUUUUUCGUCGCCCUGCCUUUAGGCGGGGCA
rnacentral:snRNA from 1 species